UACGUAGGGUGCAAGCGUUUAUCCGGAAUUAUUGGGCGUAAAGAGCUCGUAGGCGGUUUGUCGCGUCUGCUGUGAAAACUGGAGGCUCAACCUCCAGCCUGCAGUGGGUACGGGCAGACUAGAGUGCGGUAGGGGGAGAUUGGAAUUCCUGGUGUAGCGGUGGAAUGCGCAGAUAUCAAGAGGAACACCGAUGGCGAAGGCAGAUCUCUGGGCCGUAACUGACGCUGAGGAGCGAAAGCAUGGGGAGCGAACAGG
rnacentral:rRNA from 1 species